UACGUAGGGGGCUAGCGUUGUCCGGAAUCAUUGGGCGUAAAGAGCGUGUAGGCGGCUCGAUAAGUCCGCUGUGAAAGUCCAGGCUCAACCCUGGGAUGCCGGUGGAUACUGUCGGGCUCGAGUCCGGAAGAGGCGAGUGGAAUUCCUGGUGUAGCGGUGAAAUGCGCAGAUAUCAGGAAGAACACCCGUGGCGAAGGCGGCUCUCUGGGACGGUACUGACGCUGAGACGCGAAAGCGUGGGGAGCGAACAGG
rnacentral:rRNA from 1 species